UGGGGGAUAUUGCACAAUAGAGGAAACUCUGAUGCAGCGACGCCGCGUGAGUGAAGAAGUAUUUCGGUAUGUAAAGCUCUAUCAGCAGGGAAGAUGAUGACGGUACCUGACUAAGAAGCCCCGGCUAACUACGUGCCAGCAGCCGCGGUAAUACGUAGGGGGCAAGCGUUAUCCGGAUUUACUGGGUGUAAAGGGAGCGCAGGCGGUUUGGCAAGUUGAGAGUGGAAGCAGGGGGCUCAACCCCCUGACUGCUCCCAAAACUGUUAAACUUGAGUAUGGGAGAGGCAGGCGGAAUUCCUAGUGUAGCGGUGAAAUGCUUAGAUAUUAGGAAGAACACCGGUGGCGAAGGCGGCCUGCUGGACCAAAACUGACGCUGAGGCUCGAAAGCGUGGGUAGCAAACAGGAUUAGAUACCCUGGUAGUCCACGCUGUAAACGAUGAAUACUAGGUGCUGGGAGGCAUAAGCCUUUCGGUGCCGUCGCAAACGCAUUAAGUAUUCCACCUGGGGAGUACGUUCGCAAGAAUG
rnacentral:rRNA from 1 species